rnacentral:misc_RNA from 1 species
GAAAUGCGAUAAGUAAUGUGAAUUGCAGAAUUCAGUGAAUCAUCGAAUCUUGGAACGCACCUUGCGCUCCGUGGUAUUGCGUGGAGCAGGGCUGUUUGAGUAUCAUGAAAUCUUCAAAGUAAAUCUUUUGUUAACUCAAUUGGUUUCUACUUUGGUAUUGGAGGUCUUUGCAGCUUCACACCUGCUCCUCUUUGUUCAUUAGCUGGAUCUCAGUGUUAUGCUUGGUUCCACUCGGCGUGAUAAGUUAUCUAUCGCUGAGGACACUGUAAAAGGUGGCCAAGGUAAAUGCAGAUGAACCGCUUCUAAUAGUCCAUUGACUUGGACAAUACUUUUAUGAUCUGAUCUCAAAUCAGGUAGGACUACCCGCUGAACUUAAGC